GACGAACCGUGCGAACGUUAUUCGGAAUCACUGGGCUUAAAGCGCGUGUAGGCGGGUGGGAACGUCGGCCGCUGAAAUCCCCCGGCUCAACCGGGGAAGGGGCGCCGAAACGGCCCGCCUGGAGGGACGUAGGGGGAGCUGGAACUUCCGGUGGAGCGGUGAAAUGCGUUGAGAUCGGAAGGAACGCCCGUGGCGAAAGCGAGCUCUUGGACGUUUUUCUGACGCUGAGACGCGAAAGCCAGGGGAGCGAACGGG
rnacentral:rRNA from 1 species